GAGAGGUGCUGCAUGGCUGUCGUCAGCUCGUGUUGUGAAAUGUUGGGUUAAGUCUCGCAAUGAGCGCAACCCCUAUCGUCUGUUGCCAGCAUUAAGUUGGGCACUCUGACGAGACUGCCUGGGUUAACCAGGAGGAAGGUGGGGAUGACGUCAAGUCCUCAUGGCCCUUAUGUCUAGGGCUACACACGUAAUACAAUGGCGCGUACAAAGGGAAGCGAACCUGCAAGGGGGAGCAAAUCUCAAAAAGCGCGUCUCAGUUCGGAUUGGAGUCUGCAACUCGACUCCAUGAAGUUGGAAUCGCUAGUA
rnacentral:rRNA from 1 species